UACGUAGGGUGCGAGCGUUGUCCGGAAUUAUUGGGCGUAAAGAGCUCGUAGGCGGUGUGUCACGUCGGCCGUGAAAACCUGCAGCUUAACUGUGGGCGUGCGGUCGAUACGGGCAUCACUGGAGUUCGGCAGGGGAGACUGGAAUUCCUGGUGUAGCGGUGAAAUGCGCAGAUAUCAGGAGGAACACCGGUGGCGAAGGCGGGUCUCUGGGCCGAUACUGACGCUGGAGGAGCGAAAGCGUGGGGGAGCAAACAGG
rnacentral:rRNA from 1 species